UUUGAUGAAGUUUUCGGAUGGAUUUAAAGCAGCUUAGUGGCGGACGGGUGAGUAACGCGUGGGUAACCUGCCUCACACUGGGGGAUAACAGUUAGAAAUAGCUGCUAAUACCGCAUAAGCGCACGGUUCCGCAUGGAACAGUGUGAAAAACUCCGGUGGUGUGAGAUGGACCCGCGUCUGAUUAGCUAGUUGGUGGGGUAACGGCCUACCAAGGCGACGAUCAGUAGCCGGCCUGAGAGGGUGAACGGCCACAUUGGGACUGAGACACGGCCCAAACUCC
rnacentral:rRNA from 1 species